GCUUUGACUAGUAAAGAUAAGUGUCAGUUUAUUGAUCAUACUUUUUAAGAAUUUCACAAUUCUACCAUAUGUCUCAAAGCAUUGACGAUGUUGGUCAUGUUCUACCUGGAUUUCCUCCCAUUCUAGCUUGUUAACCUUUAUUUUGAAAAUUUAUUGACGAUGUUCAUGCUGAAAAUUCUGCUCAUAAUUGUAUGAUAGCCAAUGAAAAUAUUCAUGCUUCUUCCAAGUCUAUGAGGAUUGUAAGCAUGUUUUAUAAGCAUUUAAUCGUCCAUUGUUCUUCAUCAUAUUUAGCAGAGUUUGAGCAAUCAAUACAGUUUGAAGGAAGAUUUUGAAGAUGCAAAUGGAAGCAACGAUUUCAGGAUGUGUCUAGUGACAGAUUGAAGCUAAUCUGAGAAUCAAGGUGAAAGCAAACACUUUUAUAUAUAAAAGGGAUGAAGAAGCCAAUAAUGAAAUUGUUGUGGUUUGGUUAAAAGAUCAAUGCAGGAAAGUUAUGGUGCUCCUAGUGGGCAAAGAUGGAGUAAAUGUUGCAAAGAGCAUUGAAUUCAACAUUGGAGGCAGUCUUGCAUAGAUUGUUGAAUAUUAGCAAUGAUGUGACUGGUGCUGUUUUAGAGGUAGUGACACUCGCUAUGGUUUUACCGAAAAUCUCUA